rnacentral:rRNA from 1 species
GAUGAACGCUGGCGGCGUGCCUAAUACAUGCAAGUCGAGCGAACAGAUAAGGAGCUUGCUCCUUUGACGUUAGCGGCGGACGGGUGAGUAACACGUGGGUAACCUACCUAUAAGACUGGAAUAACUCCGGGAAACCGGGGCUAAUGCCGGAUAACAUUUAGAACCGCAUGGUUCUAAAGUGAAAGAUGGUUUUGCUAUCACUUAUAGAUGGACCCGCGCCGUAUUAGCUAGUUGGUAAGGUAACGGCUUACCAAGGCGACGAUACGUAGCCGACCUGAGAGGGUGAUCGGCCACACUGGAACUGAGACACGGUCCAGACUCCUACGGGAGGCAGCAGUAGGGAAUCUUCCGCAAUGGGCGAAAGCCUGACGGAGCAACGCCGCGUGAGUGAUGAAGGUCUUCGGAUCGUAAAACUCUGUUAUUAGGGAAGAACAAAUGUGUAAGUAACUAUGCACGUCUUGACGGUACCUAAUCAGAAAGCCACGGCUAACUACGUG